rnacentral:rRNA from 1 species
AGCAGCCGCGGUAAUUCCAGCUCCAAUAGCGUAUAUUAAAGUUGUUGCAGUUAAAAAGCUCGUAGUUGAAUUUCGGGGUUAGUAGGUUGGUCAUGCCUCUGGUAUGUACUGGUCUCACUGAUUCCUCCUUCCUGAUGAACCUUAAUGCCAUUAAUUUGGUGUUUUGUGGAAUUUGGACUGUUACUUUGAAAAAAUUAGAGUGUUUAAAGCAAGCUAACGCUUGAAUACAUUAGCAUGGAAUAAUGAAAUAGGACGUUCGAUCCUAUUUUGUUGGUUUCUAGGAUUGACGUAAUGAUUAAUAGGGAUAGUUGGGGGCAUUAGUAUUCAAUUGUCAGAGGUGAAAUUCUUGGAUUUAUUGAAGACUAACUACUGCGAAAGCAUUUGCCAAGGAUGUUUUCAUUAAUCAAGAACGAAAGUUAGGGGAUCGAAGACGAUCAGAUACCGUCGUAGUCUUAACCAUAAACUAUGCCGACUAGGGAUCGGAUGAUGUUAAUUUUUUAAUGACUCAUUCGGCGCCUUACG